rnacentral:lncRNA from 1 species
GAUGACUGCACCUCCUGCUGACAUGCUGAUAGCAGCCGUGUGAAAGCCCAGAGCCAGAGGUCCCAGCUAAGCCACAUCCGGAUUCCUGACCCACAGAAACUGUGAGAUAGUAAAUGUACGUUGUUUUAAGCUGUUAAAUCUGGGGGUUAUUUUUUAUGCUGCAGAUAACUAAUACAUCUAAGUGUAAUUCCUAGCGCAAAGCUUCCCAGCAGGAGAACCAAGACACACUGGUAUGCGGAAUAUGGAUUACCGACGAGCCCAGGAGAUUGGUCCUUCAACCCCUGGGGCUGCCAGGAGCAGGAGCUGUACGUGGUCCGUCACUAGAGCAUCUCCAGCCAGUCCAGUCAUCUCCCAGCAUUAUUCUGUCCAAUCAGCUGGAAGAGGAUCUCAAUCUAAUGCUGUAUGGUCCAGCUGACUAUCAGAGCAUCCAGCAUUGCAUCAGCAACAAGGGUUAGGUGGGGUGGAUAAGGGAGGGGAUGGGAGCUGAGGGGGCAAUGUAGCUGACUGCCUUGAACAAGUCUCUCUUUCUGUAGACCUGCUUUUACUCUUUCUCCAGGAUGCAGUAAAAAAUAGCUAAUUAAAUUAUUUUUCUUGGGGACAAGGAUUGUGUCUUCAUUGAUAUCAUUCAUUGCCUGAACGUGUUAAAAAUUGUUACUUUCU